CCUACGGGAGGCUGCAGUGGGGAAUAUUGGACAAUGGGGGCAACCCUGAUCCAGCCAUGCCGCGUGUGUGAAGAAGGCCCUCGGGUUGUAAAGCACUUUCAGUGAGGAAGAACGCCUGGUGGUUAAUACCCAUCAGGAAAGACAUCACUCACAGAAGAAGCACCGGCUAACUCCGUGCCAGCAGCCGCGGUAAUACGGAGGGUGCGAGCGUUAAUCGGAAUUACUGGGCGUAAAGCGCGCGUAGGUGGCUUGAUAAGCCGGUUGUGAAAGCCCCGGGCUCAACCUGGGAACGGCAUCCGGAACUGUCAAGCUAGAGUGCAGGAGAGGAAGGUAGAAUUCCCGGUGUAGCGGUGAAAUGCGUAGAGAUCGGGAGGAAUACCAGUGGCGAAGGCGGCCUUCUGGACUGACACUGACGCUGAGGUGCGAGAGCGUGGGUAGCAAACAGGAUUAGAUACCCGUGUAGUC
rnacentral:rRNA from 1 species